ACACCCGUUCCCAUGCCGAACACGGAAGUUAAGCUCUCUAGCGCCGAUGGUAGUUGGGACUUUGUCCCUGUGAGAGUAGGACGUUGCCGGGC
rnacentral:rRNA from 1 species